CCAGGCUGGACCGCGGGCCCCGGCCUGGGGGCCACAGCUGCCACCUCCGCCGCCACCUCAUCUCCUCCCCGUCUCCGUCCCGCCCCGAGUCUUCCCGCCGUAGUCGGGCCGGAGGCCGGGGUCCCUCCCCGCCGUGCCACCCUGCGCGGAUGCCGAAGGUGAAGGCGCUGCAAUGCGCCCUGGCGCUGGAGAUCCGCUCUGUGAGUACCGGCCUUGUCCAGCCUCCGCCUCCAAGUCCGCCGCCCACCCCCGGCCCUGGGGACCUCUCCCACUGCAGCCUCGUGGGGGCCUCACCCCAACUUCCAGUUGGGGUACUUUCGGAUCUCUUCCACAACACUUCGGAGUUCCGCUCCCGGGGCAGUCGUUCCCUUUGAAUUCCGCUUUACUCCUCUGGUAACUUGUCCAGGAGUGGUGCUGAAAGACAAGGAGGACAUCUAUCUUAGUAUCUGUGUGUUUGGCCAAUACAAAAAGACACAAUGUGUCCCAGCCACUUUUCCCCUGGUCUUCAAUGCCAGAAUGGUGUUUGAAAAGGUGUUCCCGGAAGCAGUAGACCCUGGAGAUGUGGUUGCACAGCUUGAGU
rnacentral:lncRNA from 1 species